rnacentral:lncRNA from 13 species
AUGUCACUGAGGCCGAAGGGACGGCGGGGGUCACCUGUGGCCCGGGAGGCUCUGCGCCGCCCCCAUCCCACGCAGGCCGCCUCGAGGCCUCAGUGGGCGCUGGCCCUGGGCGCCCGGGGUCCGGGGGUACGGGAUCCGCGGCGUCACCUCCCGGGCUCGCCGCCACGCACGACUCACCGGACCGCGUCGCCGUCCUCUGCUGCUGCGGGGCUCCGGAAGGGAAUCCGAGCCGGGCGCUCGCCCAGGCCCCCGCCCCCUGAGACUGCUGGGGUCACAGCCCCGCGCGGCCACGCCCCACUUUCUGGGCAGCCGCGUCCACGCGCGUUCUGGGCCCUGCACACCCCCUGCUCCCCCUCCCCAGCUUUCCCGACGUGGGAGCGGCAAAUCCAAGUCAGCGUGCCCAAGCCAGACACUUACUCCAGAAAAGAGCCGGUUCCUCGUACAUGGGCAUUCAUUGGGCAGUGCAGAACACGCAUUUAAAAAUGAGCAGACUAACCCGGUCUCUACUAAAAAUACAAAAGUUAGCCGGGCGUGUUGGCGCGCGCCUGGAGUCCCAGCUACUCAAGAGGCUGACAGGAGAAUCGCUUGAACCCAGGAGGUUGCAGAGAGCCGAUAUCGCGCCACUGCUCUCCAGCCUGGGCGACAGAGCGAGACUCUAUCUCAAAAAAAAAAAGAAAAAGAAAAAGAAAAAAAAAAAGAGCACUCUAGAGACGGGUCACAAAGACUUUGCUGAUAAAACAGCUUGAGGCAAAGAAGCCAGUCAGGGCCAGGCGCGGUGGCUCACACCAGUAAUCCCAGCACUCUGGGAGGCCAAGGCGGGCAGAUCACUUGAAGUCAGGAGUCCCAGACCAGCCUGGCCAACAUGGCAAAACUCGUCUCUCCUAAAAAUACAAAAAUUAGCCGAAUGUGGUGGCGCACGCCUGUAAUCCCAGCUGCUCAGGAGGCUGAGACAGGAGAAUCACUUGAACCCAGGAGGCGGAGGUUGCAGUGAGCCGAGAUCGCGCCACUGCACUCCAGCCUGGUCCGUCUCAAAAAAGAAAGAAAAAGAAAGAAAGAGAGAGAGAGAGAGAGGGGGGGGGGGGGAAAGGAAGGAAAGAAAAGAAAAAAAGCAGACUUUGGGCCUUUGCACGGCAAAAAGGGACAGUCAGCAGAGUAAACAGGCAACCCACAGAGUGGGAGAAAAUCUUCACCAACUGUAUAUCCGACAAAGGACUAAUAUCCAGAAUCUACAAUAAACCCAAACAAAUAAACAAUAAAAGAAAAACAAUCCCAUCAAAAAUUGCUCUGGCAUGAAUAGACAAUUCUCAAAAUAAAAUAUACAAAUGGCCAACAAACGUGAAAAAAUGCCCAACAUCACUAAUGAUCAGGGAAAUGCACAUCAAAACCACAACGCGAUACCACACCUUACUCCCGCAAGAAAGGCCAUAAUGAAAAAAUCAAAAAAUGAUAAAUGUUGGCAUGGUUUCGGUGAACAGGGAACACCUCUACGCUGCUGAUGGGAAUGCAAAAUAGUACAACCACUGUGGAAAAUUGUGUGGAGAUCCCUUAAAGAACUAAAAGUAGAUCUACUGUUUGAUCCAGCAAUCACACUGCUGGAUAUCUACCCAGAGGAAAAGAAGUCAUGAUAUGAAAAAGAUAUUUGCACAUGCGUCUUUAUAGCAGCACAAUUCAUACUCGCAAAAACAUGAAGCCAAACCCAUCAGUCAAACCCAAAUGCCCAUCAGUCAACAAGUGCAUGAAGAAACUGUGGUAUACAUAUACAGUGGAAUGCUACUCAGGGUAAAAAGGAAUGAAUUAAUGGUAUUCCCAACCUGAAUGGGAUUGGAGACCAUUGUUCUAAGUGAAGUAACUCAGGAAUGGAAAAACAAACAUGGUAGUUCUUACUCAUAAGUGGGAACUAACCUAUGAGGAUGCAAGGCGUAAGAAUGACACAGUGGACUUUGGGGACUUGGGGGAAAAGGGUAGGAGGGGCGAGGGAUAAAAGGCUACAAAUUGAGUUCACUGUAUACUGCUCGGGUGAUGGGUGCACCAACAUCUCACAAAUCACCACCAAAGAACUUAGGUAACCAAAUACUACAUGUUCUCCAAAAACCUAUGGAAAAUAAAACACUAAAAAAAAAAAACUUAUAAAUUUAUUUAUUUAUUUAUUUUUUAUUUUUAUUUUUAUUUUUUUAAUUUUUUAUUGGAUUAUAGGUUUUGGGGUACAUGAGCAGAGCAUGCAAGACAGUUGCGUAGGUACACACAUGGCAGUGUGCUUUCUUUUCUUCUCCCCUUCACCCACAUUUGGCUUCUCUCCCCAGGCUAUCCCUCCCCACCUCCCCCUCCCACUGGCCCUCCCCUUUUCCCCCCAAUAGACCCCAGUGUUUAGUACUCCCCUUUCUGUGUCCAUGUGUUCUCAUUUUUCAUCACCCACCUAUGAGUGAGAAUAUGCGGUGUUUCAUUUUCUGUGUUUGUGUCAGUUUGCUGAGGAUGAUGUUCUCCAGAUUCAUCCAUGUCCCUACAAACGACACAAACUCAUCAUUUCUGAUUGCUGCAUAAUAUUCCAUGGUGUAUAUGUGCCACAUUUUUCCAAUCCAGUCUAUUAUCAAUGGGCAUUUGGGUUGAUUCCAGGUCUUUGCUAUUGUAAACAGUGCUGCAAUGAACAUUCG